AUUGAACGCUGGCGGAAUGCUUUACACAUGCAAGUCGAACGGUAGAGGGGGCAACCCCUUGAGAGUGGCGAACGGGUGAGUAAUAUAUCGGAACGUGCCCAGUCGUGGGGAUAACGUAGCGAAAGUUACGCUAAUACCGCAUACGAUCUAUGGAUGAAAGCGGGGGAUCGCAAGACCUCGCGCGAUUGGAGCGGCCGAUAUCAGAUUAGGUAGUUGGUGAGGUAAAGGCUCACCAAGCCGACGAUCUGUAGCUGGUCUGAGAGGACGACCAGCCACACUGGGACUGAGACACGGCCCAGACUCCUACGGGAGGCAGCAGUGGGGAAUUUUGGACAAUGGGCGCAAGCCUGAUCCAGCAAUGCCGCGUGCAGGAUGAAGGCCUUC
rnacentral:rRNA from 1 species